rfam:Triticum aestivum genome assembly, contig: Triticum_aestivum_CS42_TGACv1_scaffold_147111_2BS
AUUAUACUUCCUUGGUCCGGAAAUACUUGUCGGGGGAAUGGAUGUAUCUAGAUGUAUUUCAAUUCUAGAUACAUUCAUUUUUAUCCAUUGCUCAGGCGAGUAUUUUGGGACGGAGGGAGUAUAAU